rnacentral:rRNA from 1 species
GACGAACGCUGGCGGCGUGCCUAAUACAUGCAAGUCGAACGCUUCUUUCCUCCCGAGUGCUUGCACUCAAUUGGAAAGAGGAGUGGCGGACGGGUGAGUAACACGUGGGUAACCUACCCAUCAGUGGGGGAUAACACUUGGAAACAGGUGCUAAUACCGCAUAACAGUUUAUGCCGCAUGGCAUAAGAGUGAAAGGCGCUUUCGGGUGUCGCUGAUGGUUGGACCCGCGGUGCAUUAGCUAGUUGGUGAGGUAACGGCUCACCAAGGCCACGAUGCAUAGCCGACCUGAGAGGGUGAUCAGCCACACUGGGACUGAGACACGGCCCAGACUCCUACGGGAGGCAGCAGUAGGGAAUCUUCGGCAAUGGACGAAAGUCUGACCGAGCAACGCCGCGUGAGUGAAGAAGGUUUUCGGAUCGUAAAACUCUGUUGUUAGAGAAGAACAAGGACGUUAGUAACUGAACGUCCCCUGACGGUAUCUAACCAGAAAGCCACGGCUAACUACGUG